GACGAACGCUGGCGGCAUGCCUAACACAUGCAAGUCGAACGGGACCUUCGGGUCUGGUGGCGGGCGGGUGCGUGACGCGUUGGAACCUACCCUUGGGUUCGGCAUAACUCCCCGGGAGGGGUGCUAAUACCGGAGAAUGUCUCCGGACCAAAGCUUUAUCGGCCUGGGAUGGGCUCGCGGCGUAUUAGCUUGUUGGUAUGGUAAUAGCUUACCAAGGCGACGAUGGGUAGCCGGCCUGCGAGGAUGACCGGCCACACUGGGACUGAGACACGGCCCAGACUCCUACGGGAGGCAGAAGUGGGGAAUAUUGCACAAUGGGCGAAAGCCUGAUGCAGCAACGCCGCGUGAGGGAUGACGGCCUUCGGGUUGUAAACCUCUUUUAGCAGGGAAGAAGCGAAAGUGACGGUACCUGCAGAAAAAGCGCCGGCUAACUACGUG
rnacentral:rRNA from 1 species